CCAUAUCUCGCUCUGUGCACCAUGUUGAUUUUGAAUCCACUCUUAUCUACAACGUUUUUAUCUCGGAUGGUUGUUUAGUUUCGGCUAACCUUGUCGCAGCUAUAAAACAAUCACAAUGUAACGUAACUGGAAUCCUUAAGCAUUUAGGAUUAACAAAAUACCAGUAGAACAUGCGAUUAGUAACCACAUCAUGAGGUGGGAAUCGGAUUUCACAUUUCCUUGAGAGCUUGAAGGAUCCGUCUCGUCACCCCUCGAAGAUGAAAUCACAACUCAUGUCUGAAACUGGUACUAAGAGUGUAUUCGAAUACUGUUAUUCACGUCGAGUAACGUACAUUGCAUACAGGCACUCUUCUAAAUUGGAGUGGAAAAUUUUGCAAUGAGUAUAACUGGGAAUUUCUUUGAGAGCAUAUCGCUUGAUGUACUGAUUUGAUAUAACUCGAUGAAAUAGAUCUAUGACAAAGAAACCUGUCAUUAAAAAAAAUAUUUUAAAAUUCAUUUUUUAUAUCCAUUUUGAUGUUAUUUUUGUGACAGACAUAAGGCAUAUAUAUAUAUGUUGUAAUUCAAUGAUAUAUGAAUUAAAAAUAUGAAGAAAAAUAAAUUAGUCAUACAUGUA